CGACAAAAUUAUCGCUUGGCGUAAGAAUAACGUCUGCAAGCAGGCUAGUUGCUCUGUAAUGGUUAGCAAAAACCCACUAUUAUAAAUGUACUACAUAAAAUUGUAUAUUGUACAAGCGACUGAACACGAUGGUUCAGAACGCAAGAUUAGCAUUGUGCUAUAUAAGGUAAAAAUAGAGCCAUUAUUUAGCAACAUUAUAAGCGACCGUCAUUCCGACAGCAAGAGCUGCCACUCCAUAUUUAAAAUAAUUCAGCCACUUUGAAGCGGACUGUCCAUAUAGCAAGCCAUCAACCAUAUCUGGCUCCUCCUUGAGCUUCUGUCGAACUUUGGAUGGACUCAGACUUUCUAAAUCAUCUUCUAGGGCACUCUGUGGUAAUACACAAGUAGAAAUUUAGUGUUAGCAUGCCAAAAUGCUUACUUUGAUGCAGUGGGCCGACUUAAAUAAAUAAAAAACCUCGUGAAAUAUAUACACCCAAAAUUAAAUACCCUAGUCAAAUAUUUGA